GCUUUGCACCCGAAUUGAGGUUGUUGUUAUUUCUUACGAAAAAAAAUAACAAUAUUAAAAGGGAAUCAGGUGCAAUGCCUGAGCUGUACCCGCAACUGUAUGCUAAAAAGCUUGUUGUAAUCUACAAAACCACUAUCAAAAAAAUGAUGGGAAGGUACACAACAAGACGCAAGCCAGGAGACCUGCCCAUUUCAAAACGAGUAU
rnacentral:ncRNA from 1 species